rnacentral:rRNA from 1 species
GAUGAACGCUGGCGGCGUGCCUAAUACAUGCAAGUCGAGCGAACAGAUAAGGAGCUUGCUCCUUUGACGUUAGCGGCGGACGGGUGAGUAACACGUGGGUAACCUACCUAUAAGACUGGAAUAACUCCGGGAAACCGGGGCUAAUGCCGGUUAACAUUUAGAACCGCAUGGUUCUAAAGUGAAAGAUGGUUUUGCUAUCACUUAUAGAUGGACCCGCGCCGUAUUAGCUAGUUGGUAAGGUAACGGCUUACCAAGGCAACGAUACGUAGCCGACCUGAGAGGGUGAUCGGCCACACUGGAACUGAGACACGGUCCAGACUCCUACGGGAGGCAGCAGUAGGGAAUCUUCCGCAAUGGGCGAAAGCCUGACGGAGCAACGCCGCGUGAGUGAUGAAGGUCUUCGGAUCGUAAAACUCUGUUAUUAGGGAAGAACAAAUGUGUAAGUAACUGUGCACGUCUUGACGGUACCUAAUCAGAAAGCCACGGCUAACUACGUG